rnacentral:rRNA from 1 species
GAUGAACGCUGGCGGCGUGCCUAAUACAUGCAAGUCGAGCGAACAGACGAGGAGCUUGCUCCUCUGACGUUAGCGGCGGACGGGUGAGUAACACGUGGAUAACCUACCUAUAAGACUGGGAUAACUUCGGGAAACCGGAGCUAAUACCGGAUAAUAUAUUGAACCGCAUGGUUCAAUAGUGAAAUACGGUUUUGCUGUCACUUAUAGAUGGAUCCGCGCCGCAUUAGCUAGUUGGUAAGGUAACGGCUUACCAAGGCGGCGAUGCGUAGCCGACCUGAGAGGGUGAUACGCCACCCUGGGACUGAGCCGCGCUCCACACUCCUACGGCAGGCCGCAGUAGGCAAUCUUCCGCAGUAGGCGGAAGCCUGACGGAGCAACGCCGCGUGAGUGAUGAAGGUCUUCGGAUCGUAAAACUCUGUUAUUAGGGAAGAACAAAUGUGUAAGUAAAUAUGCCCGUCUUGACGGUACCGAAUCAGAAAGCCACGGCUAACUACGUG